UACGUAGGGGGCGAGCGUUGUCCGGAAUUACUGGGCGUAAAGGGCGCGCAGGCGGCCGUGUAAGUCCGCUGUGAAAGACCGGGGCUCAACCCCGGGGUGUCAGCGGGGACUGCAGGGCUGGAGUCUCGGAGAGGGGUGCGGAAUACCUGGUGUAGCGGUGGAAUGCGUAGAGAUCAGGUGGAACACCGAUGGCGAAGGCAGCCCCCUGGGCUAACACUGACGCUCAGGCACGAAAGCGUGGGGAGCAAACAGG
rnacentral:rRNA from 1 species